AUUGAACGCUGGCGGCAGGCCUAACACCUGCAAGUCGAACGAGUGGCGGACGGGUGAGUAAUGUCUGGGAAAUUGCCUGAUGGAGGGGGAUAACUACUGGAAACGGUAGCUAAUACCGCAUACCAUCAGAUGUGCCCAGAUGGGAUUAGCUGGUUGGUGGGGUAACGGCUGGCAAAGGCGACGAUCCCUAGCUGGUCUGAGAGGAUGACCAGCCACACUGAAAAGGAGACACGGUACAGAUGCCUACGGGAGUCAUCAGUGGGGAAUAUUGCACAAUGGGCGCAAGCCUGAUGCAACCAUGCCGCGUGUAUGAAGGAGGACUUCGAGUUGAAAAGGACUUUAAGCGGGGAGGCGUUACCCGCAGAAGAAGCACCGGCUAACUCCGUGCCAGCAGCCGCGGUAAUAC
rnacentral:rRNA from 1 species